GGACUGGUUAGCUCAGUUGGUUUGAGCAUGGUGCUGAUAACACCAAGGUCGCGGGUUCGAUCCCCGUUCGGUCCC
rnacentral:tRNA from 1 species